rnacentral:rRNA from 1 species
GCAUAUCAAUAAGCGGAGGAAAAGAAACCAACAGGGAUUGCCCCAGUAACGGCGAGUGAAGCGGCAACAGCUCAAAUUUGAAAUCUGGCCCCUAGGGUUCGAGUUGUAAUUUGUAGAGGAUGCUUUUGGUGAGGUGCCGCCCGAGUUCCCUGGAACGGGACGCCACAGAGGGUGAGAGCCCCGUCUGGCUGGCCGCCGAGCCUCUGUAAAGCUCCUUCGACGAGUCGAGUAGUUUGGGAAUGCUGCUCAAAAUGGGAGGUAUAUGUCUUCUAAAGCUAAAUAUUGGCCAGAGACCGAUAGCGCACAAGUAGAGUGAUCGAAAGAUGAAAAGCACCUUGAAAAGAGGGUUAAAUAGUACGUGAAAUUGUUGAAAGGGAAGCGCUUGUGACCAGACUUGGGCGCGGCGGAUCAUCCGGGGUUCUCUCCGGUGCACUUCGCCGCGUCUAGGCCAGCAUCAGUUCGUCGCGGGGGAAAAAGGCUUCGGGAACGUGGCUCCUCCGGGAGUGUUAUAGCCCGUUGCAUAAUACCCUGCGGUGGACUGAGGACCGCGCAUCUGCAAGGAUGCUGGCGUAAUGGUCACCAGCGACCCGUCUUGAAACACGGACCAAGGAGUCGUCUUCGUAUGCGAGUGUUCGGGUGUCAAACCCCUACGCGUAAUGAAAGUGAACGCAGGUGAGAGCUUCGGCGCAUCAUCGACCGAUCCUGAUGUUCUCGGAUGGAUUUGAGUAAGAGCAUACGGGGCCGGACCCGAAAGAAGGUGAACUAUGCCUGUAUAGGGUGAAGCCAGAGGAAACUCUGGUGGAGGCUCGCAGCGGUUCUGACGUGCAAAUCGAUCGUCAAAUAUGGGCAUGGGGGGCGAAAGACUAAUCGAACCUUCUAGUAGCUGGUUCCGCCGAAG